rnacentral:rRNA from 1 species
GAGGAAUCUGAUGCUGCGAUGCCGCGUGAGUGAAGAAGGCCUUUGGGUUGUAAAGCUCUUUUGUAGGGGAAGAUAAUGACUGUACCCUAAGAAUAAGGUCCGGCUAACUUCGUGCCAGCAGCCGCGGUAAUACGAAGGGACCUAGCGUAGUUCGGAAUUACUGGGCGUAAAGCGCGCGUAGGCCGUUGAGUUAGUUAAUUGUGAAAUCCCAAAGCUUAACUUUGGAACUGCAAUUAAAACUGCUCGACUAGAGUUUGAUAGAGGAAAGCGGAAUACAUAGUGUAGAGGUGAAAUUCGUAGAUAUUAUGUAGAACACUAGUUGCGAAAGCGGCUUUCUGGGUCAAUACUGACGCUGAGGCGCGAAAGUAUGGGUAGCAAAGAGGAUUAGAUACCCUCGUAGUCCAUACCAUAAACGAUGAUUGCUAGAUGUUGGAAAUUUAUUUUCAGUAUCGCAGCUAACGCAUUAAGCAAUCCGCCUGGGGAGUACGACCGCAAGGUUAAAACUCAAAUGAAUUGACGGGGACCCGCACAAGCGGUGGAGCAUGUGGUUUAAUUCGAAGAUACGCGCAGAACCUUACCAACCCUUGACAUGUCUGUCGCGAGUUUAGGAAACUAGACUUUUCGGUUCGGCCGGACAGAACACAGGUG